CAGUCGCCGCGGUAAGACAGAGGAUGCAAGCGUUAUCCGGAAUGAUUGGGCGUAAAGCGUCUGUAGGUGGCUUUUCAAGUCCGCUGUCAAAUCUCAGGGCUCAACCCUGGACAGGCGGUGGAAACUACCAAGCUGGAGUACGGUAGGGGCAGAGGGAAUUUCCAGUGGAGUGGUGAAAUGCGUUGAGAUCGGAAAGAACACCAACGGCGAAAGUACUCUGCUGGGCCGACACUGACACUGAGAGACGAAAGCUAGGGGAGCAAAUGGGAUUAGAUACCCCGGUAGUCCAUGUCUCUUAUAC
rnacentral:rRNA from 1 species